rnacentral:rRNA from 1 species
CGCCUCUUGCUAAAACAUAAGAGGUCCCGCCUGCCCUGUGACUUAGUUUAACGGCCGCGGUAUCUUAACCGUGCAAAGGUAGCACAAUAAAUUGUUCUCUAAAUAAGGACUAGUAUGAAUGGCACCACGAAGGCUUAACUGUCUCCCCCCUCUAAUCAAUGAAACUGAUCUUCUCGUGAAGAAGCGAGAAUACGUAUAUAAGACGAGAAGACCCCAUGGAGCUUUAAACUCAUCAACAUUUACUUCCCACUAAAUCAACAUUAAUUAGUAAAAUUGUUCCUGAUAGUUUUCGGCUGGGGUGACCCUGGAGCAAAAAAAACCCUCCAGGAUGAAUGAAAUAAUUAUUUCUAAUCCAAGAGUUACAACUCUAAGAAUCAAAAAUUUGACAUUACUGAUCCAAUUACUUGAUCAACGAACCAAGUUACCCUGGGGAUAACAGCGCAAUCCAUUUCAAGAGCCCCUAUCGACAAAUGGGUUUACGACCUCGAUGUUGGAUCGGGGUAUCCCAGUGGCGCAGCCGCUACUAACGGUUCGUUUGUUCAACGAUUAAUAACCCC